rnacentral:rRNA from 1 species
GACGAACGCUGGCGGCGUGCUUAACACAUGCAAGUCGAACGGAAAGGCCCUGCCUUUGUGGGGUGCUCGAGUGGCGAACGGGUGAGUAACACGUGAGUAACCUGCCCUUGACUUUGGGAUAACUUCAGGAAACUGGGGCUAAUACCGGAUAGGAGCUCCUGCUGCUUGGUGGGGGUUGGAAAGUUUCGGCGGUUGGGGAUGGACUCGCGGCUUAUCAGCUUGUUGGUGGGGUAGUGGCUUACCAAGGCUUUGACGGGUAGCCGGCCUGAGAGGGUGACCGGCCACAUUGGGACUGAGAUGCGGCCCAGACUCGUACGGGAGGCAGCAGUGGGGAAUAGUGCACAAUGGGCGGAAGCCUGAUGCAGCAACGCCGCGUGCGGGAUGACGGCCUUCGGGUUGUAAACCGCUUUCGCCUGUGACGAAGCGUGAGUGACGGUAAUGGGUAAAGAAGCACCGGCUAACUACGUG